rnacentral:misc_RNA from 1 species
AACGCACGAGACCUGCGGACCUGCGGAAGGAUCAUUAAUGAGUUGCAAAACUCCCUAAACCAUUGUGAACCUACCUGUACCGUUCCUUCGGCGGGCGGCGUCAAGCCCUAACCCGUCUCCCUUUACGGGGGAUGGACCCGCCGGAGGCUCCUAAACUCUUAACUUUUGUUGGCAUCUCUGAGUAAAUCAAAAUAAGUCAAAACUUUUAGCAAUGGAUCUCU